rnacentral:rRNA from 1 species
UACGUAGGGUGCGAGCGUUAAUCGGAAUUACUGGGCGUAAAGCGUGCGCAGGCGGUGAUGUAAGACAGGUGUGAAAUCCCCGGGCUUAACCUGGGAACUGCAUUUGUGACUGCAUCGCUGGAGUGCGGCAGAGGGGGGUGGAAUUCCGCGUGUAGCAGUGAAAUGCGUAGAUAUGCGGAGGAACACCGAUGGCGAAGGCAAUCCCCUGGGCCUGCACUGACGCUCAUGCACGAAAGCGCGGGGAGCAAACAGG